CACUUCUUAAAGCGCCUGGGCCACCUCUUGGCUGUGUGACCUUGAGAGAGUCUUAACCCCCCUCUGAGCCAAGUUUUCCCUUGUGUCAAGUGGGAGAACUCACUCUCAUCUCAGAAUUGCUGCGGGCGUUAAAUGUACAGGGCUUGGGAUCCAAAUGGAAACGAUGUAUUAACGAUAUUUUGAGGGUGGAGCUAUUAAUUUAGCCCCUACUGUCUGCCAGGCACGGUGUUUGGCUCCUCGGUGCCUCUCUGUCCCUCAGUUUCCAUUUCUGUAAAAUGGGGGUAAGUCCUGCCUCACACUGGGAGGAUGAGUGAGGCCACGUCAGUGGUUGAUGUCGACCCUGGCCCUAGGCCCAUUGAUAUGACUGGUCAUGUGUCUGCAGAACGGAGCCCCCCACCUGAUGGGCAGCGGGGCAGUCAGCUCCUGGCACGGCAGCUGCAGGAUUUCUGGAAGAAGUCCCGGAACACCUUGGCACCCCAGCGGCUGCUCUUCGAAGUGACCAGCGCUAACGUUGUCAAGGACCCGCCCUCCAAGUACGUGACAAACCUCAGCUCUACACCCUCGCCGUGAUAGGCCCAGGGCCGCCAGAUUGCCAGCCAGCCCAGAUCUCUCGCCGUUACUCGGACUUUGAGCGGCUGCACCGAAACCUGCAGCGGCAAUUCCGGGGCCCAAUGGCUGCCAUCUCCUUCCCCCGUAAGCGGCUGCGCCGGAAUUUUACUGCAGAGACCAUUGCCCGCCGUAGCCGGGCCUUUGAGCAGUUUUUGGGUCACCUGCAGGCAGUGCCUGAGCUGCGCCAUGCCCCGGACCUGCAGGACUUCUUCGUGCUGCCGGAGCUGCGGCAGGCACAGAGCCUCACCUGUACUGGCCUCUAUCGUGAGGCUCUGGCACUCUGGGCCAAUGCCUGGCAGCUGCAAGCCCAGCUGGGCACCCCCUCUGGCCCAGACCGCCCCCUGCUGACCCUGGCUGGGCUGGCCGUGUGCCACCAGGAGCUGGAAGACCCUGGGGAGGCCCGGGCAUGCUGUGAGAAGGCCCUGCAGCUGCUUGGGGACAAGAGCCUCCACCCUUUGCUGGCACCCUUUCUGGAGGCCCAUGUCCGGCUCUCCUGGCGCCUGGGCCUGGACAAACGUCAAUCAGAGGCUCGGCUCCAAGCCCUGCAGGAGGCAGGCCUUACCCCGACACCACCCCCCAGUCUCAAAGAAUUGCUCAUCAAGGAGGUGCUGGACUAACCCUUGCCUAGAUUUAAGGCCACUGUGAGGAGAGGGGCUGCCCCAGAAUGCAGGGGAAGGACCUGAUGAGGACAGAAUAGCUGGGAGGCUGCAGAGGGUGCUGGGAGCCCCUAGAAGUUCCAAAAGAGAAUAUGAAGCAGAUCAAGGAAACUUCUGUUGAGCUGGGCUCAGGAUGAGCUUUGGCUGGGGUUGCCUUUGUGUAGUACAGGGAAGUCUGACACAGCCUCUCCAGCUUAUAAACAGCCGGGGGGCUGUGGCACAGGUUGGGGCAAUGUUCCCUUGUUGGUGGGCCCCCAAGCUGGCAAGGCCUCUUGGCUGAAGGCCAGGGACUCUGCCCUGGAGUCCUGGAGUUAAGGGAUGAAGGCAAGGCUGCAGGUCUGGCCCAGGGGAAUUAAAAGCCAGCCACUCCAGUGGUAUCAGUCUCUUUAUUGGAUGUGAGGGCCAAAAGGGACUGUAACUCCUGUCUCAGGAAUGGGGAUAGAUGGGAGGUUCUUGAAGCCCCAGGCGAAGCUGGUACCUCUGGCUACAGCUUGCUCUCUGAGACCCGGGGCUUCACUCGGAUCACGCCCUCCUGGGCACAGGUCACAGCUAGGACUCCAUCCUGACGCCACAGCCGCCCAUGGACUAGCCCCCGAGAGCCACCUGUGGGUGAGGUGAAGGGUGAUGAUGGCCUGCUUCAGAACAGCCAAAUACACUUUUUUUUUUUUCCUGAAACAGAGUCUCACUAUGUUGCCCAGGCUGGUCUCAAGCUCCUGGGUUCAAGGGAUCCUCCCGCCUCAGCCUCCUGAGCAUCUGGGAUUACAGGUGCACAUCACCACGCCCAACCUCCAAGUGGACUUCUUGCAAAGGGUCUGGCCCAGGGCAGGGCUGCCCCACACAAGGGUGCACUGAGUGUCGUGGCUGCUCCAAAUGCCCCUUCAUGAGCUUAUUAUGGACCGUCAUUGAGGGGUAACUCCUCCCACAGGAACUCCACUUGACAGUUUAAAAGCACUUUCACACCUCUGCUCGCUUCCUCAAAAAGAUCACGGAGGAGCUCUGAGAACAGUUUCCUUCAACAGCUCGGCCAAGCAGAACUGCUGUACCUCUGGCCACUUGUGUUAGGAAAACUAUUGGCUCCCUGUAUAAUAAAUCAAGCCAGGUCCUCCAAGUGGUAAUUCAUGAAAAAUAUCCCCACUACCACCACCAAGGGGAAGAAGGGACUCAGCAGAGAGGACUUGAGGCCAUGAGGUCUGGCCUCUUCCCUCCCCACCUGGAGACUCCUCCCUUGCUGGCUUUGGGCCCAAGUUUGAUGUUUGUGAGGAUGAUUGCUGGUUUCCCUUACACAUAGCAGAGCUCACUCAGUUCUCACAGUGGCCAAAUGAAGCAGUUAUGUGUUGUCCAGUUUUCCAGACCAGGACUGAAAUCCAUAGAGGGUCAGGAAUUUGGCCCCAUGAUGAGGCCAAAUCUGAACCCAUGUCCUCACUUCAAGGUUAUCAAUCUUGGAUUGUGAUGCUGUUGGUACUUGAGAAUACCCCUUAUCUGAGUAUAAAGAGUCCUUAAGUUUUGUCCUUCGUUUAUCAA
rnacentral:sRNA from 1 species